UACAGGGGGUGCAAACGUUGCUCGGAAUCAUUGGGCGUAAAGCGCACGUAGGCGGUUUGUUAUGUCGGAUGUGAAAGCCCUUGGCUCAACUGAGGAAGUGCAUCCGAAACUGGCAAGCUAGAGUACUAAAGAGGGUCGCGGAAUUCCCGGUGUAGAGGUGAAAUUCGUAGAUAUCGGGAGGAACACCGGUGGCGAAGGCGGCGACCUGGGUAGAUACUGACGCUGAGGCGCGAAAGCUAGGGGAGCAAACAGG
rnacentral:rRNA from 1 species